UCUUCGGAGUGAUACUACGUGAAGGAUGAAGGUCUAAGGAUUGUAAACUUCUUUACUAGUAGGUACUGCUUUUGGGCUUGCCUGCUAGCAAAAAGUCACGACUAACUAUGUGCCAGCAGUCGCGGUAAGACAUAGGUGGCGAACGUUAUCCGGAAUUACUGGGCGUAAAGAGUGCGUAGGUGGUUUAAUAAGUUACUGGUGGGAAAUCGGGGCUCAACCCCGUGGAAGUCAGUAAUACUAUUAAACUAGAGGGUCGGAGAGGUUAACGGAAUUCUAUGUGUAGCGGUAAAAUGCUUAAAUAUAUAGAGGAACACCAAACGGCGAAGGCAGUUAACUAUUCGAUUCCUGACGUUGAGGCACGAAAGCGUGGGGAGCAAGACGGAUUAGAUACCCGAGUAGUCCACGCCCUAAACGAUGAGUACUAGAUAUUGGGAACUAGAUUCUCAGUGUCGCAAGAUAACUCGGUAAGUACUCCGCCUGGGUAGUACGGUCGCAAGACUAAAACUC
rnacentral:rRNA from 1 species